UUUUCAGGUUAUGGAGCGGAGACGACUAAUGUCAUGGUACCUUCCACCAAAAGAACUCUCUGGUUUAUCCCAGGUUAGUGAGCCAACAGGACUAAUGUCACGGGACUCUUCAUCAUCAGAAAAAGAACUAUAUGGUUCAUCCAAGGUUAUGGAGCGGAGACGACUAAUGUCAUGGAACCUUCCACCAAAAGAACUCUCUUGUUUAUCCAAGGUUAGUGAGCCAACAGGACUAAUGUCAUGGGAAUCUUCAUCAUCAGUAGAAGAACUAUAUUGUUCAUCCAAGGU